GACGAACGCUGGCGGCGUGCUUAACACAUGCAAGUCGAACGGUGAAGCGCCUUCCUUUUUGGUGGGUGUGGAUGAGUGGCGAACGGGUGAGUAACACGUGAGUAACCUGCCCCCUUCUUCUGGAUAACCGCAUGAAAGUGUGGCUAAUACGGGAUAUUCUGGGUCUGUCGCAUGAUGGGUCUGGGAAAGAUAUUGUUUCGGUGGGGGAUGGGCUCGCGGCCUAUAAGCUUGUUGGUGGGGUGAUGGCCUACCAAGGCGGUGACGGGUAGCCGGCCUGAGAGGGUGGACGGUCACACUGGGACUGAGACACGGCCCAGACUCCGACGGGAGGCAGCAGUGGGGAAUAUUGCACAAUGGGCGCAAGCCUGAUGCAGCGACGCCGCGUGAGGGAUGGAGGCCUUCGGGUUGUGAACCUCUUUCGCCAGUGAAGCAGGCCUGCCUCGUUUGUGGGUGGGUUGACGGUAGCUGGAUAAGAAGCGCCGGCUAACUACGUG
rnacentral:rRNA from 1 species